GACGAACGCUGGCGGCGUGCCUAAUACAUGCAAGUCGAACGCAGUGGGGACGGGUGAGUAACACGUGGGUAACCUCCCAUCAGAGGGGAUAACACUUGGAAACAGGUGCUAAACCGAUAUUGAUGGAUGGACCCGCGGUGCAUUAGCUAGUUGGUGAGGUAACGGCUCACCAAGGCCACGAUGCAUAGGCGGCCUUGGGAGGGUAGCCGGCAACCUUGGAAUGGGGAACGGCCCAGACCCCCACCGGAGGGAGCAGGAGGGGAUCGUCGGCAAUGGAACGAAGGCUUAACGAGGAACGGCGCGGGAGUGAAGAAGGGUUUCGGGUCGGAAAGCUCUGUUUGUAGGGAAGCGGUAACUAACCAGAAAGGGACGGCUAACUACGUGCCAGCAGCCGCGGUAAUUC
rnacentral:rRNA from 1 species